rnacentral:antisense_RNA from 1 species
GUACACGGAGGCAGCAUGGGGAAAGGCAUUGAAGGGCGGGACCGAGGCACCGGCUGGGACCCCGGAGCCGACUUGCUGCAGAUCCAAAAAGGCGGAGCUAGAUAAAGAGGAAGGGGUGGAGCUAGAACUGGACACCUCGGGGGUUUCCUGCUUUAUGGCGAAGGGUACAAAGCACUGGGAAUGCAACCUUGAACAAGACAAGAAUCCUGGUCUUCAAGGAACUGCGAACCUUUUUGGGGGAUAUGAUAAGAUACAUUAGGAAUCACCAUGUUAAUGGUGAUCUUUCUUGAAGGAUAUAAGUCCAGGUGCUCGGGGAGACCCACACAUAUACUCAUAGAAAUGAGUUAUUUAAAGAAGACGGUCCAGAUUCCACAGUCCAAAAAAAAAAAAAAAAAGAGGUUUGCCCUGCUUCUGAAGGAGUCAGGAUACGAAUGCAGAGGUCUUCCUGUUGGCUCACGUAUCAGACCUUCAACGUCAACAUUAAAUGUGAGUGAUGCUCUCCACUCUGUGAAUGUGGCUUUGGGUAUGGCUAAUCCACACCCUGCACUCUGGCCUUCAGAAGCCCAGGGAGAGAAGCCUCCCAGAAGCAACCUUCCAGAACCUUCUCCAUACUCCCACCGACCUCCCCAGCCCCUGUCUUCUCUUUGAAUCUCGUUGUCAAGUUCUUUCCUGGCUCCUUGAGGGGAGGUGCAGCUUUCAUCUGACCAUGCAGGCGUGCUUUGCAGUGGGUAGAGCAGUGCUUUCCUCCUCCCAGCUGCACACUGGAAUCACCUGGAGAGUCCAGAAACUUCCCGCCUCAGUGAAAGAACAUCAGUGUAUCAGCACAGCAAAGAUUCCAAAUGCCAGGCUGGAUUGCC